UGCCUGUAAGACUGGGAUAACUCCGGGAAACCGGGGCUAAUACCGGAUGCUUGAUUGAACCGCAUGGUUCAAUUAUAAAAGGUGGCUUUUAGCUACCACUUACAGAUGGACCCGCGGCGCAUUAGCUAGUUGGUGAGGUAACGGCUCACCAAGGCGACGAUGCGUAGCCGACCUGAGAGGGUGAUCGGCCACACUGGGACUGAGACACGGCCCAGACUCCUACGGGAGGCAGCAGUAGGGAAUCUUCCGCAAUGGACGAAAGUCUGACGGAGCAACGCCGCGUGAGUGAUGAAGGUUUUCGGAUCGUAAAACUCUGUUGUUAGGGAAGAACAAGUACCGUUCGAAUAGGGCGGUACCUUGACGGUACCUAACCAGAAAGCCACGGCUAACUACGUGCCAGCAGCCGCGGUAAUACGUAGGUGGCAAGCGUUGUCCGGAAUUAUUGGGCGUAAAGCGCGCGCAGGCGGUUUCUUAAGUCUGAUGUGAAAGCCCCCGGCUCAACCGGGGAGGGUCAUUGGAAACUGGGGAACUUGAGUGCAGAAGAGGAGAGUGAAUUCCACGUGUAGCGGUGAAAUGCGUAGAGAUGUGGAGGAACACCAGUGGCGAAGGCGACUCUCUGGUCUGUAACUGACGCUGAGGCGCGAAAGCGUGGGGAGCGAACAGGAUUAGAUACCCUGGUAGUCCACGCCGUAAACGAUGAGUGCUAAGUGUUAGAGGGUUUCCGCCCUUUAGUGCUGCAGCAAACGCAUUAAGCACUCCGCCUGGGGAGUACGGUCGCAAGACUGAAACUCAAAGGAAUUGACGGGGGCCCGCACAAGCGGUGGAGCAUGUGGUUUAAUUCGAAGCAACGCGAAGAACCUUACCAGGUCUUGACAUCCUCUGACAACCCUAGAGAUAGGGCUUCCCCUUCGGGGGCAGAGUGACAGGUGGUGCAUGGUUGUCGUCAGCUCGUGUCGUGAGAUGUUGGGUUAAGUCCCGCAACGAGCGCAACCCUUGAUCUUAGUUGCCAGCAUUCAGUUGGGCACUCUAAGGUGACUGCCGGUGACAAACCGGAGGAAGGUGGGGAUGACGUCAAAUCAUCAUGCCCCUUAUGACCUGGGCUACACACGUGCUACAAUGGGCAGAACAAAGGGCAGCGAAGCCGCGAGGCUAAGCCAAUCCCACAAAUCUGUUCUCAGUUCGGAUCGCAGUCUGCAACUCGACUGCGUGAAG
rnacentral:rRNA from 1 species